GCCUUCGUGGUAUAGUGGUCAGCACGCUCGACGCGUAACCGAGAGGUCCGUGGUUCGAUUCCCACCGGAGGCG
rnacentral:tRNA from 1 species